UACGGAGGGUGCAAGCGUUAAUCGGAAUUACUGGGCGUAAAGCGCACGUAGGUGGUUUGCUAAGUCAGCUGUGAAAUCCCCGGGCUCAACCUGGGCACUGCAGUUGAAACUGGCAAGCUAGAGUAGGGUAGAGGGGUGUGGAAUUCCAGGUGUAGCGGUGAAAUGCGUAGAUAUCAGGAGGAACACCGGUGGUGUAGACGGCUUGCUGGACCAUGACUGACGCUGAGGCACGAAAGCGUGGGGAGCAAACAGG
rnacentral:rRNA from 1 species